UACAGCAACAACGCAGGUCCUCACAGUUAACUUCUGCAUGCAUUAUGGAUGAAGACGCUUUUAGAUGCAUAUUUUUCCUUGAGAGUCUUGGAGGUGGUCAGACGGUCAACGCAUGAAGAUGACUUCAUUCCGUAACUUCAAUACAAGUCAAUCAGUAAAUGUUAAAAGCUCCUGUGUGACUACAACAAACAGUAUGUGGAAUAUAAGACCCUGCUCCAACACAUAUCCUUUCAUCUGUAGUGGAAUUCGUAGGAAGAUGAGGGUGGUAAAAAUUACGUUGUCCAAAUCAGAUUCCUCGGACCUGGAAGAAGCGCAGGAUGUCGUCUUGCAGCAACUGAACCUCAAACUGGAGAGCUAUGGCCUUGAAGAUGUCAAACUGAAAUGGAUCAACCAGUCUGAUGGAAAGACGUUUCACUUGAAAAAGAAAGGAGACAAAAAGACAAAGGAUUUAAAAUAGGUGUGCACUGAUUGCAGUUUUCUGGACGAUCACAGAUUAACGAUCUAUUAAAACUCCUGACCUGUCGAUUCCGAUUUUGGACAAUACCAAUUUUUUUUUAUCUAAAAUGUUGCUAAAUGUAGCAAGAAAGUUGAUGAGUUGCCAACAGUGAGAUGACUAUUAACUGCAAACAUAUAGACCUGAUCUGGUCUGCUGGUCAAAGCUCUCUCACAGCAGAGCAGAAAAAGAAAACAGUUGAUUUAAAUGUCUUUGCUGAAGUAGUUAAAAUUGAUAGUUAAGAUCGGCUUCACAUGUAAAAAUUGGUCGGCACGGAUAAAUCGGUGCAUCCCUAGUAAAAACGUGAGACUGAGAAAAACUUUGUUCUCUGAAAAAGAUGGCAGAGCAGUUUUUGAUUUUCUUAAAGAUAAUUUUCCUGACUGAUAUUCACUGUUGUAGCUGCAGAUCAUAAUAAGCAGUGAUGGUCUAACAGUAUCUCAUGUUCCAACUUCAAAAUAAUUUAAUCUCUCCUGAUCUUUUUUGUCUUUGAUUUAGUUUUCUGAUCUUUCUGUACAGUUCGUUAAAUUUAUAUUUUUGUGGAUUCUGCCUUAAGAAGCCAGAUUUGGUUGGUUGUUAUUAACUUGUGUUGCAUUUUUUGGCAUCUCUGCCAUGGGUUAGCUGUUAAAAGGAACCAAAUUCAGGAAGAAGACUAUCCAUCCAUCCACCAUCCAUCCUGAAAACCCGACUCGGGGCCAGCUUUCAGUCCACAGAGGAAUCACUGGUCACCCCUCUCAUCCUCUCACUGCAUGUGGGAGGGGCCUGAGCAAACAGGUGUCAUGUGAAGUUGUGAUUAAGUUUUUUUUAUAAAAGUAAAAAAUUCAAACGCCAAACUCCAAAGAAAAACCCAACUUUGAUGCUGGUGGACCAACAUGAACUGGAUGGUGGGAGGGAGUGAACACCAAGGCAACAAAUUGGCAUGGAGACAGAAGAGGCAGCAGCGCUCUGAAUCAGCUGCAGCUGUCUGACUUUUUAAGGCGACCUGUGUGAAGACACCAUUGCAGAAAUCAAUGCAGCUAAAUAUAAACACAUGGAUGAGUUUCUCUAGAUUUUGCUUGAAUAUUUAUCUUUUAAUCUUAAUGUUCUUCAGGUGAUAGAAGGCCAACUUUGCAAUUGAUUUUAUGUGUACGGUAUUUGAAAGUUCAGGUCUGAGUUUUACAUCCAUUUGGGCCUCAUUAGCUGCUGCUAGCUGUAAUAACUGACCUCUGUCCUGGACUUUGGUUGCUCCUCCUUUAGUUUUGUUUCUGUUCAGCUGAAGAAAGUUUUGCCACAUUCAUGUAUUUAUUUACCUUAAGCAUCUGUUUAGUGCUUGGCUGGGUUUAGAGUCACCUGAUGACAUCAUGAUGGAGAGCUUUGUAGCAUAUCCACAGCUAUGGUAGCUAAUUGUCAGCAGUUAUUGACCUAAGACUCUCUGAUCAUUUGUUAUGGAAAAUAAAAGGGUCAUUUCAAAAAAUAUGCUCAAAAUUAUGCUUUUUAUUUAAAUUAUGGUCCUAUAAAUGUAUGAAUGAUGAUGGAUUUGUG